rnacentral:rRNA from 1 species
UACAGAGGGUGCAAGCGUUAAUCGGAAUUACUGGGCGUAAAGCGAGCGUAGGUGGCUUGAUAAGUCAGAUGUGAAAUCCCCGGGCUUAACCUGGGAACUGCAUCUGAUACUGUUAGGCUAGAAUAGGUGAGAGGAAGGUAGAAUUCCAGGUGUAGCGGUGAAAUGCGUAGAGAUCUGGAGGAAUACCGAUGGCGAAGGCAGCCUUCUGGCAUCAUAUUGACACUGAGGCUCGAAAGCGUGGGUAGCAAACAGG